UACGUAGGGACCAAGCGUUGUUCGGAUUUACUGGGCGUAAAGGGCGCGUAGGCGGCAAUUCAAGUCAUCUGUGAAAUCUCCCGGCUUAACUGGGAGGGUGCAUUAGAAACUGGAAUGCUAGAGGAUGGGAGAGGUAAGCGGAAUUCCUGGUGUAGCGGUGAAAUGCGUAGAUAUCAGGAGGAACACCUGUGGUGUAGACAGCUUACUGGACCAUUUCUGACGCUGAGACACGAAAGCGUGGGUAGCAAACAGG
rnacentral:rRNA from 1 species